GCUUUUGGUGUUUUAGCCAUGAAGUCUUUGCCUAUGCCUAUGUCCUGAAUGGUAUUGCCUAGGUUUUCUUCUAGGGUUUUUAUGGUUUUAGGUCUUACGUUUAAGUCUUUAAUCCAUAUUGAGUUAAUUUUUGUAUAAGGUAUAAGGAAGGGGUCCAGUUUCAGUUUUCUGCACAUGGCUAGCUAGUUUUCCCAAUACCAUUUAUUAAAUAGGGAAUCCUUUCCCCAUUGCUUGUUUUCGUCAGGUUUGUCAAAGAUCAAGUGGUUAUAGAUGUGUGGUGUUAUUUCUGAGGCCUCUGUUCUGUUCCAUUGGUCUAUAUACAGAACACUUUCAUCACCCCAAAAAGAAACCCUUUAGCAAUCUCUCCCCAUUUCCUUCCACUCUUCCCCCCGGCCUUUUUUUUUUUUUUUUUUUUUGAGGCAGAGUCUCACUCUGUCGCCCAGGCUGGAGUGCAGUGGCACAAUCUCGGCUCACUGCAAACUCUGCCUCCCGGGUUCACGCCAUUCUCCUGCCUCAGCUUCCCGAGUAGCUGGGACUACAGAUGCCUGCCACCAUGCUCAGCUAAUUUUUUUAUUUUUAGUGGAGACGGGGUUUCACCGUGUUAGCCAGGAUGGUCUUGAUCUCCUGACCUGAUGAUCCGCCCACCUCAGCCUCUCAGAGUGCUGGGAUUACAGGCGUGAGCCAUCGCGCCCGGCCUCUUCCCCACCAUUAAUCUACUCUGUCUCUAUAGAUUUGUCUGUUCUGGACAUUUUGUAUAAAUGGAACCAUACAAUAUUUGGUCUUUUGUUACAUGCUUCUUUCACUUAGCUUGAUAUUUCCAGGGUUCAUCUAUGUUGUAGCAUGUAUCAAUACUUUAUUCCUUCCUAUUGCCAAAUAAUAUUCCAUUGUGGAUAUACCACGUUUUAGUUAUCCUUUCAUUGGUUGAUGGGCAUUUAGGUUGUUUCUACUUUAUGGCUAUUAGGAAUAAUGAAUAAUGGCUGUUAUAAACAUUUGUAUAAAAUAGACUCCAUCCUGGAGGAAUGGCAUGUGAAUACAGGGUGAGAGGAAUUGGUGACCGUCUGUGCAAACAGUCCACCACAUUCUGCCCUUUGCUCUCAACAAUUUACAUCCCCCUCAUAUGCAAAAUAUAUCCACCCCCUUCCACCACCACUAGAUGUCUCAUCCAAUAAUUACAUCAGCUUGAAAUCCAGAAUAUUAUCAUCUAGGUAGUCUAUAUGUAGGUAAGGCCUCUAACCUGCCAUACUGGUCCAUAUACCCUAACUUUGUUCAUGCUGCUUCCUUUACUUCCCACCUCUCAUUCCCACUCUGCCACAACCUACCCUACACAUCUCUGGCGAUCAAAAGAAAAUAUCUCUUCUUCCUUGAAGCUUUUGCUUACCUAUACUAUACCUCCAGUAGAAUUUACCACUCCUAUUUGCUUCAACUGCACCCUAUACAGACUUCUUUCAGAGCCCUUCUUCUUGCUCCAGAUUCAAUAGUGUCUACCUUAUGUACAGUCCAUUUUAGCUUUUUUAUGUCUGAAUUCAAUCAACCUUGCUCUUAGUGUUUAGGCUUUCACUGUUUGUUUUGGUCAAGACUCUUAAGGCUACAAGUGAUAGAACCUUAGCCUUAGAUAUUAACCAGCAACGGAGGUUCACCAGACAUCUGAGUAAAGAAAGCCUCCAAGAUAAAAGAUGAUGAUCCAAACAGAAAAAAGGGAUUCUGAGGGAACAAACAUUGCAGGGAGAAGAAAACCCUCCUACCAGAAAGUGGGGGAAUCCUCUAAUACUCUUUUUUUUUUUUUUUUUUUUUUUGACGGAGUCUUGCUCUGUCAUCCAGGCUGGAGUGCAGUGGCGCAAUCUCGGGUCACUGCAACCUCCGCCUCCCAGGUUCAAGUGAUUCUCCUGUCUCAGCCUCCCGAGUAGCUGGGAUUACAGGCAUACGCCACCAAGCCCAGCUAAUUUUUGUAUUUUUAGUAGAAAUGGGAUUUCACUGUAUUGGCCAGGCUGGUCUCAAACUCCUGACCUCAGGUGAUUCACCCUCCUCGGCCUCCUAAAGUGCAGGGAUUACAAGCAUGAGUCACUGCGCCUGGCCUGCUAAUAUUCUUAAGUUAUACUGAAGAUAAAUCUUAUUGAAAUAAGAGCAGUGGUACUGUAUAAAAUGAACUCUGGAAACAAAAGCACUUAGCAAAGAACAAUGUGAAACUGAUCUCACCCUAAGGAUUAGAUCCAAAAGGUCCAUUUGGCAGCCAGAUCUUGCCAGAGCAGAAUUUAAGGCAUUUGCCAUAGGUGGAAGGUUGAUGUAUGUUUUGGUUAUCUAUUGUUACGUCACAAACCACCCCCAAUCUUAGAGGUUCCAUAAUUUGGACAGGGCUUGAGCAGAAAGAUUGAUUCAUCUCUGCUCCUUGUUGGCACCUACUGAGGCUGGAACGUAGAUAAUGAUAAGCAAUUUGCUGGGUUGGAUUUGUACACUUUCUACCGUCCAAUAUGAUCCAUCAACUUUCUUCUUGGCUUUGUAUUAUGUCCAAAAGGGUACUCUUGGAUUGACUUACACUUGCAAUACAGAGAAAGAAGCCAUUUGGUUUGGCCAGUGCUUUAGAAGGGAGAAAGGGGUGGGAGCAUGAUGUCCAACUGCUGGGAGGGGUCAGGAGGCACCUACAUGCUAGUAUUUCUGUGUGCAUUCCAAACCAGUGUUGGGUUUCUCCACUUCUACUGGCUUUGUUUGAUCUUAUUGUCCUUGAAGAUUUGAUUAACUUCAACCCUAUUCUGUCAGCUGUUUCAGUUCCAAUGGAACCUUGUAAUUCUGGCUCAUUAUAACAAGAAAUUAUCUCAAAUCCAAAAAGAAAAAAAAAUCACGUCUGGUAUUUCAGCUGACAUGAUUGAAACAGCGUAGGGUUGGUUGUCUCUGUCCCUCUGCAUGGUCUCUCAGUGCUGCUGUCACAGCAUGAGAGUUUCAGAGUAGGUGGGUUUUUUCCAUGUUACAAUGCAAGAAUGGAAUCUGCCAGGCCUUCCUGCACAUGUACCCCUGAACAUAAAAUAAAAGCCUU
ensembl:lncRNA novel transcript